GACGAACCGUGCGAACGUUGUUCGGAAUCACUGGGCUUAAAGGGCGCGUAGGCGGGUUCGCAAGUCUGUGGUGAAAGCCCCCAGCUUAACUGGGGAAGUGCCGUGGAUACUGCGAAUCUUGAGGAGGGUAGGGGCAUCUGGAACGGUCGGUGGAGCGGUGAAAUGCGUUGAUAUCGGAAGGAACGCCGGUGGCGAAAGCGCACGACUGGACCUCACCUGACGCUGGAGGCGCGAAAGCCAGGGGAGCAAACGGG
rnacentral:rRNA from 1 species